rnacentral:piRNA from 1 species
UGAAAGUCAAAAUUCCCAAGCCGGUGACCAU